AAGAUUGUAACAGGAUUCUUUAAUAUCGCUGUUGGACCCAAGUUUCCCAUCUACCGUGAUUCACUAUUGAACGGGAAUGACAUUACAGGAUACAAAGUAACGCAGUUCGAGAAAUUCUGGAUCAACAUGAAAGUGAAUCUGAUGGUUCAAACUCAGAAACUAGGGGAGGAAAUACACCAGUCUGAUUCCUUCCUGAUGCCAGCUUUGACAGGAGAAGAGGCGUGGUGUUUAUUAUCAUUAUUUGAUCAAUCCUCACAUUAUUCUUCUAUAUGUGGCUCACAGAGCAAAGACAAGCGAGGUGUUAAUAAAUAGUGUAAGGUGUGCUCUGUGAGGCGUCCUGGGAUAUGAUGGGUAACGUUGGCUUGGGUCCAAGCUCCACCUCUCUUGGGCGACCGCCAAGGAAGAUGUACAGGGAAUACUGAUCUGGAGAUGGAGAUGUUGGUCGUCCUCCAGAGCGGCUCUGCUGGUCUGUCUAGCGUCGAGCGCCCGGGCCGUCGCCUGGGGUCUCCUGCUCCUUCCCGGGCCGUCCCCUGGGGUCUCCUGCUCCUUCCCGGGCCGUCGCCUGGGGUCUCCUGCUCCUUCCCGGGCCGUCCCCUGGGGUCUCCUGCUCCUUCCCGGGCCGUCGCCUGGGGUCUCCUGCUCCUUCCCUAAGGUUCCCGGCUGGUCUAUCCGGCUAUCAGCCCACUUGCCCCUGAAUCUCUCCUCCAGACCAUCUCCACCCACCCUGCUCGGUUCUCCUGACAGACCUGGUGGGACGUCUGGAUCUGGGCCUUAUGGUCCUGGUCUCACUUUGUCUCUCAGUUGUUCAAUGUUCGUUCUCUCCCUGUCCACCAGAUGCCCUUUGACUUCUCCAAUCCCUUCAUUCCCCUUCCCCUGUGCCUUCUUGUCAAUCUUCCCACCUGCCCCUCAUUCCCUCAUCAGUCUCUCCCACUAUAUCCAGAUUCACUUCCUUUGUUCCCUUGUCAGUUCGUUGUUUUUAUCCGUCGUGGGUCCCCAAUUGUCAUGUUUUUCUGCCUGUUCAUGGAACAGAGACAUUGAGUUUCUUUAUUAAAGGCCUUUUUUUGUAACGUCCUGAGUCGUCUGCAUUUGGAACUACCCCUCCUUGUUCCUGCUGCCCCGCAAGCACCCGACCAUGACAGUCUCUGUACUGUCCAUCCCCUAACCGCCCCUUAAUGACCCGUCUCUGUACUGUCUAACCCCUACCUGCUCCUUAAUGACCUGUCUCUGUACUAUCUAACCCCUACCUGCUCCUUAAUGACCUGUCUCUGUACUGUCUAACCCCUACCUGCUCCUUAAUGACCUGUCUCUGUACUGUCUAACCCCUGACUGCUCCAGAUGUUUUGAUUCACGAAUGUAUGAAUGACCUUCUCUUUCUUGCAUUAUUGUCAGCAAUCUUAUCAAUUUAAUUGUAUUUUGAUCCUGGCAAAAGUUCAAUCAAUAAAAUUCCUCCUCGCCUGAA